GUGGGGGGGCUUGGGUGGUGCGAAGUGAGGGGCGCCUGGGGGGUAGAGGGCUGUGAGGUGGGAGUGCGGGGCCAUGCUGAGGAAAUGGGGUCAUGACAAGGAAAAGUUUGGGUAGCACUCUAUUAAGGUAUGGUGAUACAAGGAUUUGGAAAUCAGGAAUUCAGCAGUCUAAGCAGCUACAAACAGCAGACUUUUGUACAAUUAUUUACAUUUUCUCUUUGGUUAAUGCAGCCAGUAUUUAAAAUAACACACUCUGUAUCCUUUUGUAUGUAAUUUAUAAGAUGAGAUGUUAGAAGUUAUUAGGAGCUCUGUACUUUCCUCUAACAAGUGACUUGUGCUUCUCUGAACCAUUCAUAUUUACCUAAUAAAAGUGUAAAUAUUUGCCACCAUGACAUUUAAUUCUCUUUUAAGCUAGCCUUGUCUCUAUGCAGUUAUUAAAGCAAGCCCCCUCAAUUACAGUGCAAAUAUUCUCUUAAUACAGGUCUCCCUCACUUUAUGCAGUAGAUGCAUUCCUGAAAAACUGUGAAUAACUCAAAUUCACAUAAA